rnacentral:rRNA from 1 species
GACGAACGCUGGCGGCGUGCCUAAUACAUGCAAGUAGAACGCUGAAGGAGGAGCUUGCUUCUCUGGAUGAGUUGCGAAUGGGUGAGUAACGCGUAGGUAACCUGCCUGGUAGCGGGGGAUAACUAUUGGAAACGAUAGCUAAUACCGCAUAAGAGUAGAUGUCGCAUGACAUUUGCUUAAAAGGUGCAAUUGCAUCACUACCAGAUGGACCUGCGUUGUACUAGCUAGUUGGUGAGGUAACGGCUCACCAAGGCAACGAUACAUAGCCGACCUGAGAGGGUGAUCGGCCACACUGGGACUGAGACACGGCCCAGACUCCUACGGGAGGCAGCAGUAGGGAAUCUUCGGCAAUGGACGGAAGUCUGACCGAGCAACGCCGCGUGAGUGAAGAAGGUUUUCGGAUCGUAAAGCUCUGUUGUAAGAGAAGAACGAGUGUGAGAGUGGAAAGUUCACACUGUGACGGUAUCUUACCAGAAAGGGACGGCUAACUACGUG